AUGGGGAUGUGGUUAGUCUGGUGCACGGCAGCCCUGUGCUUCUUGGGAGCAAGACACACAGACGCUGAAAUCACCCAAACACCAAGUCUGGUACUGAAGAGAGGAGAGACAGCCCAGCUGACAUGCAGACAAACUGAUAAUCAUAACUCUAUGUACUGGUAUCAUCAGCAGCAGGGGAAAGGGCUGCAGUUGAUCUAUUACUCUCUUGGUAAAGACAGCAAGCAAGAUGGUGACAGUGACAUUAAAAAUGAUUUCACAGCCUACCGGCCACAGAUCGAAGUCUUUCACUUGAACACCUCCUCUGUGAAGAUUGAGCACUCGGCUGUGUAUUUCUGCGCCAGUAGUUUAGACACAGCACUUCAGAGUCACCUCCUCCCUCUACAAAAACCUCCCCCAUUCCAAGAGAUCUUCUCCUCCCAUCUUCACAUAAGAGGGAGAUAAGGCUGUUCCCAUGCAGACAGGAACAGCUCAUUAUGCAUAGAAAUACUAGCAAAGCGCUUCUGGGGGAGAAGGGAAUCAAAGGCAGAGCAGCUCUCUUAAAUAUGGGUUAUUUCCCAAACCAUAUACCUGCCCUGGUGUUCACCUGGCUUGUCCCUUCUUCAGGAUGUCACAGCUGCAACCAUGCAGUUCCCAUCAUGCAGGCAUGAGACAGGGCAAAUAGAAAUCAUAACUUUGUGUUCCAAAAAAACAAUACUCUUCCUAGAGCCAUUCUCAUAGCCAACAGAGCAGAGGUACCCAAACUUUUCUUAUUGUGUACCCCCUUACACACAGAGGCAGA